rnacentral:rRNA from 1 species
UACGAAGGGGGCUAGCGUUGCUCGGAAUUACUGGGCGUAAAGCGCACGUAGGCGGAUUUGUAAGUCAGGGGUGAAAUCCCGGGGCUCAACCUCGGAACUGCCUUUGAUACUGCAAAUCUCGAGUCCGGAAGAGGUGAGUGGAAUUCCUAGUGUAGAGGUGAAAUUCGUAGAUAUUAGGAAGAACACCAGUGGCGAAAGGCG